UACGUAGGGGGCAAGCGUUGUCCGGAUUUACUGGGCGUAAAGAGCGUGUAGGCGGCCAAGCAGGUCCGUUGUGAAAACUGGAGGCUUAACCUCCAGACGUCGACGGAAACCGCGUGGCUAGAGUCCGGAAGAGGAGAGUGGAAUUCCUGGUGUAGCGGUGAAAUGCGCAGAUAUCAGGAAGAACACCAAUGGCGAAGGCAGCUCUCUGGGGCGGUACUGACGCUGAGACGCGAAAGCGUGGGGAGCGAACAGG
rnacentral:rRNA from 1 species